CCUACGGGAGGCAGCAGUAGGGAAUAUUGCACAAUGGGGGAAAGCCUGAAGGAGCAACGCCGCGUGGAGGAUGAAGGUUUUCGGAUUGUAAACUGCUUUUAUAAGAGAGAAAAAUGACGGUAUCUAACGAAUAAGCACCGGCUAACUCCGUGCCAGCAGCCGCGGUAAUACGGAGGGUGCAAGCGUUACUCGGAAUCACUGGGCGUAAAGAGCGGUAAGGGGGGAUAGCAAGUCCGAUGUGAAAUUCUAGGGCUUAACCAUAGGACUACAUUUGAAACUGUUAUUCUAGAGUAUGUGAGAGGUAGGUGGAAUUCUUGGUGUAGGGGUAAAAUCCGUAGAGAUCAAGAGGAAUACUCAUUGCGAAGGCGGCCUGCUAGAACAUAUCUGACGCUGAUGCGCGAAAGCGUGGGGAGCAAACAGGAUUAGAUACCCUUGUAGUC
rnacentral:rRNA from 1 species